AACACCAGGUGGUGAGAUUGGUGGGAGCCAUCUUGGAGCUGACUUAUGGCUACCACAAGCAUCAUCUUUAUUUUACAGACAUACAAGAAUGGCUAAAAUUGCAAGAAAAGAAACCUGUCAAUACCAAACGUGGCAAUGCUUGGAGCAGCUGGAACUCUCCUACACUGAAGGUUGAAUAAACGUGAUACCAGGUGGAAGCUCAGAUCUACACGAGGAAUGAAGAAUGCCGGAAAUCAUAAAUAUAUGAGCCACUCAAGGCCUUGAAAUUUAUGUGACUCUCCCAAAGUAUGACCCAGAGCCUAGAUGCUGAACUGCCAGAACCCAUGGACAUUUAGGACUCGAGUAAAGCACAGGACAAUAAGAGCAACCAAGUACGGCCUCGUCCAAGUACAGCUUUGCAGAUUAGCCCUGAGCUAACAUCUGCUGCCAAUCCUCUUCUCUGAAGAAGACUGGCCCUGAGGUAACAUCUGUGCCCAUCUUCCUCUACUUUAUAUGUGGGACGCCUACAGCAUGGCUUGCCGAGCAGUGCCAUGUCCGCACUCGGGAUCUGGGCCUGCGAACCCUGGGCCGCCAAAGCAGAACGUGC
rnacentral:lncRNA from 1 species